AACGAACGCUGGCGGCAUGCCUAACACAUGCAAGUCGAACGAGACCUUCGGGUCUUGUGGCGCACGGGUGCGUAACGCGUGGGAACAUGCCCUUAGGUUCGGAAUAACUCCCCGACAGGGGUGCUAAUACCGGAUAAUGUCUUCGGCCCAAAGAUUUAUUGCCUUUGGAUGGGCCCGCGUUGGAUUAGCUAGUUGGUAGGGUAAAAGCUUACCAAGGCGACGAUCCAUAGCUGGUUUGAGAGAAUGAUCAGCAACACUGGGAGUAAGACACGGCCCGGACUCCUACGGAAGGGAGCAAAGGGGAAUAGAGGACAGCGGGGGGAGGCCUGAAGCUGCAAGGCCGCUUAAGUGAUGUAGUCCGUGGAGUUGUAAAGCGCAAGUACCCAGGAUGAUAAUGACGGUACCGAGAGAAUAAGCUCCGGCUAACUACGUG
rnacentral:rRNA from 1 species